AGUGGCGGACGGGUGAGUAACACGUAAGAAUUUGCCUUUAGGAGGGGGACAACAACUGGAAACGGUUGCUAAUACCCCAUAUGCUUUCGAGUGAAACGGAUUUUUCCGCCUAAAGAGAAGCUUGCGGCUGAUUAGCUUGUUGGUGAGGUAAUGGCUCACCAAGGCGACGAUCAGUAUCUGGUUUGAGAGGACGAUCAGACACACUGGAACUGAGACACGGUCCAGACUCCUACGGGAGGCAGCAGUGGGGAAUUUUCCGCAAUGGGCGAAAGCCUGACGGAGCAAUACUGCGUGAGGGAUGACGGCCUAUGGGUUGUAAACCUCUUUUUUCAGGGAGGAAUCAAAUGACGUGUACCUGAAGAAUAAGCAUCGGCUAACUCCGUGCCAGCAGCCGCGGUAAGACGGGGGAUGCAAGUGUUAUCCGGAAUCACUGGGCGUAAAGCGUCUGUAGGUGGUCAAAUAAGUCAACUGUUAAAUCUUGAGGCUCAACCUCAAAAUCGCAGUCGAAACUAUUAGACUAGAGUAUAGUAGGGGUAAAGGGAAUUUCCAGUGGAGCGGUGAAAUGCGUAGAGAUUGGAAAGAACACCGAUGGCGAAGGCACUUUACUGGGCUAUUACUAACACUCAGAGACGAAAGCUAGGGUAGCAAAUGGGAUUAGAUACCCCAGUAGUCCUAGCCGUAAACAAUGGAUACUAGAUGU
rnacentral:rRNA from 1 species